AGGACGAACGCUGGCGGCGUGCUUAACACAUGCAAGUCGAACGGUGAAGCCCUUCGGGGUGGAUCAGUGGCGAACGGGUGAGUAACACGUGGGCAAUCUGCCCUGCAUUCUGGGACAAGCCUUGGAAACGAGGUCUAAUACCGGAUACGACGCAUCCCCGCAUGGGGUGUGCGUGGAAAGCUCCGGCGAUGCAGGAUGAGCCCGCGGCCUAUCAGCUUGUUGGUGGGGUAAUGGCCUACCAAGGCGACGACGGGUAGCCGGCCUGAGAGGGCGACCGGCCACACUGGGACUGAGACACGGCCCAGACUCCUACGGGAGGCAGCAGUGGGGAAUAUUGCACAAUGGGCGAAAGCCUGAUGCAGCGACGCCGCGUGAGGGAUGACGGCCUUCGGGUUGUAAACCUCUUUCAGCAGGGAGAAGCGCAAGUGACGGUACUGCAGAAGAAGCACCGGCUAACUAUGCGCCAGCGGCCGCGGUAA
rnacentral:rRNA from 1 species